rnacentral:lncRNA from 1 species
UAUGUUAUUGUUUAUUAUAUUUUUAUUUAUCUAACAUGAUUAUCAUUUUUUUAUUUGUCUUACAACCCUAAUUAUCUUUUUUUAAAUUGUGAACAUGAUUUUAUUUAUUUUGCUUUUCUAAUAAUCAAACUAUUUGAGAUUUAUGGUGCACAAUAUUUGUUUACUGAAAACAAAGCAUACAUAGACCAAAAACACAUUUUUGGAC